rnacentral:ncRNA from 1 species
GAAACCAGCGAGGGGUGCCAUUGGAGUAUACCCUUGUCCAUGGGUAUCAUUCCUUUGGCUGAGAUCAUACCCUAAAUUACCUGAUCCGGGUUAUACCGGCGGAGGGACUGCUGCGUUGUUGCUAC